rnacentral:rRNA from 1 species
GCCAGCAGUGAUAACACAUUGAAUGCACCAGUUCUCCAUGGAUCACUGAAAUUAAGCAACUUUGCGCGCGUUUAGUAUCCGGAUGGGUGACCAUCUGGACAAUCACGUACUGUUUGCU